rnacentral:rRNA from 1 species
ACACCGGCAGCUCAAGUGGUAGCCGCUUUUAUUGGGCCUAAAGCGUCCGUAGCCGGUCUGAUAAGUCUCUGGUGAAAUCCCGCAGCUUAACUGUGGGAAUUGCUGGAGAUACUAUCAUGACUCGAGGUCGGGAGAGGCUGGAGGUACUCCCAGGGUAGGGGGGAAAUCCUGGAAUCCUGGGAGGACCACCUGUGGCGAAGGCGUCCAGCUGGAACGAACCUGACGGUGAGGGACGAAAGCCAGGGGCGCGAACCGGAUUAGAUACCCGGGUAGUCCUGGCCGUAAACGAUGUGGACUUGGUGUUGGGAUGGCUUCGAGCUGCCCCAGUGCCGAAGGGAAGCUGUUAAGUCCACCGCCUGGGAAGUACGGCCGCAAGGCUGAAACUUAAAGGAAUUGGCGGGG